rnacentral:rRNA from 1 species
AACGUAGGGGGCAAGCGUUGCCCGGAUUCACUGGGCGUAAAGCGCGUGUAGGCGGUCCGUCAAGUCGGGUGUGAAAUCUCGAGGCUCAACCUCGAAAUCGCAUCCGAUACUGGCGGACUUGAGGACGGUAGAGGUCGGUGGAAUUCCCGGUGUACCGGUGAAAUGGGCAGAUAUCGGGAGGAACACCCGUGGCGAAGGCGGCCCCCUGGGCCGUACCUGACGCUGAGGCGCGAAGGCUAGGGGAGCGAACGGG